rnacentral:sRNA from 1 species
CGGCGUGUUAAAAAGAGAUGAUAGUUC